UACAGAGGGUGCGAGCGUUAAUCGGAAUUACUGGGCGUAAAGGGCGCGUAGGCGGCCACCGCAAGUCGAUUGUGAAAUCUCCGGGCUUAACCCGGAAAGGUCAACCGAUACUGCGGGGCUAGAGUGCAGAAGGGGCAACUGGAAUUCUCGGUGUAGCGGUGAAAUGCGUAGAUAUCGAGAGGAACACCUGCGGCGAAGGCGGGUUGCUGGGCUGACACUGACGCUGAGGCGCGAAAGCUAGGGGAGCGAACGGG
rnacentral:rRNA from 1 species